rnacentral:rRNA from 1 species
UAGUCCACGCCGUAAACGAUGAUAACUGGUUGUGUGCGAUACACAGUGCGCGACUGAGGGAAACCAUUAAGUUAUCCACCUGGGGAGUACGUUCGCAAGAAUGAAACUCAAAGGAAUUGACGGGGGCCCGCACAAGCGGAGGAACGUGUGGUUUAAUUCGAUGAUACGCGAGGAACCUUACCUGGGCUUAAAUGUAGAGUGCAUGAUUUAGAAAUAGAUCUUUCCUUCGGGACCCUUUACAAGGUGCUGCACGGUUGUCGUCAGCUCGUGCCGUGAGGUGUCGGGUUAAGUCCCAUAACGAGCGCAACCCCUAUCGUUAGUUGCUAGCAGGUCAAGCUGAGGACUCUAACGAAACUGCCGGUGUAAACCGCGAGGAAGGUGGGGAUGACGUCAAAUCAGCACGGCCCUUAUGUCCAGGGCUACACACGUGUUACAAUGGUCGAUACAAUGGGCAGCUACAUGGCAACAUGAUGCUAAUCUCCAAAGUCGAUCCCAGUUCGGAUCG